rnacentral:rRNA from 1 species
UACGGAGGGAGCUAGCGUUGUUCGGAAUUACUGGGCUAAAGCGCGCGUAGGCGGCUUUGUAAGUUAGAGGUGAAAGCCCGGAGCUCAACUCCGGAACUGCCUUUAAAAACUGCAUCGCUUGAAUCCAGGAGAGGUGAGUGGAAAUUCCGAGUGUAGAGGUGAAAAUUCGUAGAUAUUCGGAAGAACACCAGUGGCGAAGGCGGCUCACUGGACUGGUAUUGACGCUGAGGUGCGAAAAGCGUGGGGGAGCAAACAGG